UACGUAGGUGGCAAGCGUUGUCCGGAUUUACUGGGCGUAAAGGAUGCGUAGGUGGAAAUUUAAGUGGGAUGUGAAAUCCCCGGGCUCAACCCGGGAACUGCAUUCCAAACUGGAUUUCUAGAGUGCAGGAGAGGAAAGCGGAAUUCCUAGUGUAGCGGUGAAAUGCGUAGAUAUUAGGAAGAACACCGGUGGCGAAGGCGGCUUUCUGGACUGUAACUGGCACUGAGGCAUGAAAGCGUGGGGAGCAAACAGG
rnacentral:rRNA from 1 species